UACGUAGGCAGCAAGCGUUGUUCGGAAUUACUGGGCGUAAAGAGUGUGUAGGCGGUUUUCUAAGUUUGGUGUGAAAUCUCCCGGCUUAACUGGGAGGGUGCGCCGAAAACUGGAAGGCUUGAGUGCCGGAGAGGAUAGCGGAAUUCCUGGUGUAGCGGUGAAAUGCGUAGAGAUCGGGAGGAAGGCCGGUGGCGAAGGCGGCGCUCUGGAACGUUUCUGACGCUGAGGCUCGAAAGCGUGGGGAGCAAACAGG
rnacentral:rRNA from 1 species